GACGAACGCUGGCGGCGUGCUUAACACAUGCAAGUCGAACGGAAAGGCCCUGCUUUUGUGGGGUGCUCGAGUGGCGAACGGGUGAGUAACACGUGAGUAACCUGCCCUUGACUUUGGGAUAACUUCAGGAAACUGGGGCUAAUACCGGAUAGGAGCUCCUGCUGCAUGGUGGGGGUUGGAAAGUUUCGGCGGUUGGGGAUGGACUCGCGGCUUAUCAGCUUGUUGGUGGGGUAGUGGCUUACCAAGGCUUUGACGGGUAGCCGGCCUGAGAGGGUGACCGGACACACUGGGACUGGGAUACGGCUCAGACUCCUACGGGAGGCAGAAGUGGGGAAUAGUGCACAAUGGGCGGAAGCCUGAUGCAGCCACGCCGCGUGCGGGAUGACGGCCUUCGGGUUGUAAUGCGCUUUCGCCUGUGACGAAGCGUGAGUGACGGUAAUGGGUAAAGAAGCACCGGCUAACUACGUG
rnacentral:rRNA from 1 species